rnacentral:rRNA from 1 species
AUAUUGGACAAUGGGUGAGAGCCUGAUCCAGCCAUCCCGCGUGAAGGACGACGGCCCUAUGGGUUGUAAACUUCUUUUCUACAGGGAUAAACCUACUCUCGUGAGGGUAGCUGAAGGUACUGUAGGAAUAAGCACCGGCUAACUCCGUGCCAGCAGCCGCGGUAAUACGGAGGGUGCAAGCGUUAUCCGGAUUUAUUGGGUUUAAAGGGUCCGUAGGCGGGCUUGUAAGUCAGUGGUGAAAUCUCACAGCUUAACUGUGAAACUGCCGUUGAUACUGCAGGUCUUGAGUAAAUUUGAAGUGGCUGGAAUAAGUAGUGUAGCGGUGAAAUGCAUAGAUAUUACUUAGAACACCAAUUGCGAAGGCAGGUCACUAAGAUUUAACUGACGCUGAGAGACGAAAGCGUGGGGAGCGAACAGG